CCUGGCUCAGGAUGAACGCUGGCGGCAUGCUUUACACAUGCAAGUCGAACGGCAGCGGGGUAGUGCUUGCACUACUGCCGGCGAGUGGCGAACGGGUGAGUAAUAUAUCGGAACGUACCGAGUAAUGGGGGAUAACCAAUCGAAAGAUUGGCUAAUACCGCAUACGUCCUGAGUGAGAAAGCGGUGGAUCGCAAGACCUCGCGUUAUUCGAGCGGCCUAUGACUGAUUAGCUAGUUGGUGGGGUAAAGGCCUACCAAGGCGACGAUCAGUAGCGGGUCUGAGAGGGCGAUCCGCCACACUGGGACUGAGACACGGCCCAGACUCCUACGG
rnacentral:rRNA from 1 species